AUUGAACGCUGGCGGCACGCUUAACACAUGCAAGUCGAGCGGUAACAUGACUAGUAGCAAUACUAGUUGAUGACGAGCGGCGGACGGGUGAGUAACACGUAGGAACUUGCCCAGUAGUGGGGGACAACCAAGGGAAACUUUGGCUAAUACCGCAUAUUCUCGAGAGAGGAAAGCUGCCGCAAGGUGGCGCUAUUGGAGAGGCCUGCGUCCGAUUAGCUAGUUGGUAGGGUAAAAGCCUACCAUGGCGAGGAUCGGUAACUGGUCUGAGAGGACGGCCAGUCAACCUGGGACUGAGACACGGCCCAGACUCCUAUGGGAGGCAGCAGUGGGGAAUCUUGGACAAUGGGGGAGACCCUGAUCCAGCGAUGCCGCGUGUGUGAAGAAGGCCUUCGGGUUGUAAAGCACUUUAGUUGGGGAAGAAAAGUAAUAAGUAAAUAAUUUAUUGCUCUGACGGUACCCAAAGAAUAAGCACCGGCUAACUCUGUGCCAGCAGCCGCAGUAA
rnacentral:rRNA from 1 species